ACUGUGAACGAAGAAGAGGCAUCGCGUUGCUGAAGGAGCACUGGUUCCGUGACACCGGUCGUUUACUUCGAAAAUGAAGGGUUUCUCCUUUGGCCAACAGCUUAAGCAGUGGGAAAUUGGCGAGGUAACAAUAGGCAACACCUGCGUUUUUGGCCCUGCCACAAGGUUGUUGAGCUAUUGGUUAAUUAGCAGCAAUCAUGUAGCUACUACGGAUAUGAAUGGGUUGUUCAGUUAUUCCGUGAUUUACCGCUGGUGACACUGCAUCGUUGCGGAUUUUUUUUACCCAUAAUUUAACUGAUUAUGGUAUCCUAUUCAUUGAAUAUAUUUUCUAAAGGUAUUCCUUACAACUUUUCUGCGAUUUCUUUUUCAAUUUCAGUCAUAUUGUCGGUUAGGCAUAGACGUUUUGGGAUGAGUAAUUUUUAUUGACCAAAGCUCGAAGGGUCGUCCUGAACUUGUUUGUCGGCUCUACUCCAAAAUGUAUCGGCAAGUUAUCAGGUCGGGCUUAUCUGCAUGACGCGUUAUGGAUUUGUUAUUCUACCUAUCGCUUAUCUGCAUACCGUUGUGCCUGGUGCAUUCUAUGCGAUGCGUCAUUCCGUGACUCUGUUUACGUGUAGAAAUCUUCAAAUUUUCCAACGGGUGCGAGGGAAGCAUCUGUGACGAAUUUCUUCGCAGGGGUCCAACUUCCAACGAAAGAUCCUCACAAUAUCUUUAAAGUGCAGUUCUGAUCCUUUCUUUGAGAGGGUAAUCCAUUUACUGUGAAAAUGGAUAGCUUUCUGGUACAGGUGCAAAUUUCUCAAAGUGCACGCCAAGUUCAUUGAAACUCACUCAAGUACUGAAUAAGGAAAACCCAACAUUUCUACUUUCAAGCAAAUUAAUAAACACAAUAUUAGGUACCUUUGCAUGUA